rnacentral:rRNA from 1 species
CCCUUAGAUGUCCGGGGCUGCACGCGCGCUACACUGAAGGAAUCAGCGUGCUAGAAAACCUUGUUUGACAUGGCUAGGUAACCCGUUGAAGAUCUUUCGUGAUUGGGAUCGGGACUUGCAAAUGUGUCCCUUGAACGAGGAAUUCCCAGUAAGUGCGGGUCAUAAGCUCGCGCUGAUUACGUCCCUGCCCUUUGUACACACCGCCCGUCGCUGCCCGGAACUGAGCCGUUUCGAGAAGACUGGGGACUGCGAACUUUGGGCUGGAAAACAGCUUUUUGUUUGUGGAAACCACUUUAAUCGCAGCGGCUUGAACCGGGCAAAAGUCGUAACA